UACGUAGGAUGCAAGCGUUAAUCGGAAUUACUGGGCGUAAAGGGCGCGUAGGCGGCACUGUUAGUCAGGCGUGAAAGUCCUGGGCUCAACCUGGGAACUGCGCUUGAUACGGCAGAGCUAGAGGAUGGAAGAGGCUCGCGGAAUUCCCAGUGUAGAGGUGAAAUUCGUAGAUAUUGGGAAGAACACCGGUGGCGAAGGCGGCGAGCUGGUCCAUUACUGACGCUGAGGCGCGACAGCGUGGGGAGCAAACAGG
rnacentral:rRNA from 1 species